UACAGAGGGUGCGAGCGUUAAUCGGAAUUACUGGGCGUAAAGCGUGCGUAGACGGUAGCGUAAGUCAGAUGUGAAAGCCCCGGGCUCAACCUGGGAAUGGCAUUUGAUACUCGAGGGCUUGAGUACGGGAGAGGAGAGUGGAAUUCCCAGUGUAGAGGUGAAAUUCGUAGAUAUUGGGAAGAACACCGGUGGCGAAGGCGGCUCUCUGGACCGUAACUGACGCUGAGGCGCGAAAGCGUGGGGAGCAAACAGG
rnacentral:rRNA from 1 species